ACUCCUACGGGAGGCAGCAGUAGGGAAUCUUCCACAAUGGGCGCAAGCCUGAUGGAGCAACACCGCGUGAGUGAAGAAGGGUUUCGGCUCGUAAAGCUCUGUUGUUAAAGAAGAACACGUAUGAGAGUAACUGUUCAUACGUUGACGGUAUUUAACCAGAAAGUCACGGCUAACUACGUGCCAGCAGCCGCGGUAAUACGUAGGUGGCAAGCGUUAUCCGGAUUUAUUGGGCGUAAAGAGAGUGCAGGCGGUUUUCUAAGUCUGAUGUGAAAGCCUUCGGCUUAACCGGAGAAGUGCAUCGGAAACUGGAUAACUUGAGUGCAGAAGAGGGUAGUGGAACUCCAUGUGUAGCGGUGGAAUGCGUAGAUAUAUGGAAGAGCACCAGUGGCGAAGGCGGCUACCUGGUCUGCAACUGACGCUGAGACUCGAAAGCAGUGGGUAG
rnacentral:rRNA from 1 species